GGUGAUUGUGAUGAGAUGGGAGUGAAUAUUCAAUGUCCCUGGAAGCUUUGUAUAAGGACUUGUUAAGCUAAAGGGUAAUCAAGCUCUUUCAAGUUUUGGGAGCAAAGGAAAGCUUUUGAAGAGGUGUGGGGGUGGGGGAAUAAGCUUUGAAUAUUUGAAUGAUUUAAACGUAAAAGCUUCCAUCACCACAAUCAUCAGGAGCAGUUGCUAAGUUACCCUUACAGUCCAUGGUUGCCCUCCUUGAUUUGCGCCUAAGACAGGGCUCUCUUUAUAUCUCUUUCCCAACCCCUCUCUCACUCUCAUUAGCUG
rnacentral:lncRNA from 1 species